rnacentral:rRNA from 1 species
AUUGAACGCUGGCGGCAUGCCUUACACAUGCAAGUCGAACGGCAGCACGGGUGCUUGCACCUGGUGGCGAGUGGCGAACGAGUGAGUAAUACAUCGGAACAUGUCCUGUAGUGGGGGAUAGCCCGGCGAAAGCCGGAUUAAUACCGCAUACGAUCUACGGAUGAAAGCGGGGGACCUUCGGGCCUCGCGCUAUAGGGUUGGCCGAUGGCUGAUUAGCUAGUUGGUGGGGUAAAGGCCUACCAAGGCGACGAUCAGUAGCUGGUCUGAGAGGACGACCAGCCACACUGGGACUGAGACACGGCCCAGACUCCUACGGGAGGCAGCAGUGGGGAAUUUUGGACAAUGGGCGAAAGCCUGAUCCAGCAAUGCCGCGUGUGUGAAGAAGGCCUUCGGGUUGUAAAGCACUUUUGUCCGGAAAGAAAUCCUUGGCCCUAAUACGGUCGGGGGAUGACGGUACCGGAAGAAUAAGCACCGGCUAACUACGUG